AGAAUCAACGCUGGCGGCGUGCCUCAGACAUGCAAGUCGAACGCGAAAGCUUCCUUCGGGAGGCGAGUAGAGUGGCGCACGGGUGAGUAACACGUAGGUAAUCUACCUUUGGGUGGGGAAUAACAGCCGGAAACGGCUGCUAAUACCGCAUAAUGCAGCGGCUCGACAUCGAGACAGUUGUUAAAGCGGGGGAUUCGUAAGAACCUCGCGCCUAAAGAGGAGCCUGCGGCGGAUUAGCUAGUUGGUAAGGUAAUGGCUUACCAAGGCAUCGAUCCGUA
rnacentral:rRNA from 1 species